rnacentral:sRNA from 1 species
GUUUAUUUUCAUAACAGAAGUUGGAUACGAAGCGAACUAGAAAAUAAAAUAGUUGGAUUACAUUACCUUUUUAUUACAAAUAAAGACUUCUGACUUUUAAAAAACAAAUAAGACUGAAAUCUCAUAUAGAUCGGUCUACAACAAAUCGAGUCAAGUUUCAGAUAUUGUAACUAGAAUUGUGCCCCUAGCUAUGUUAAUU